CCAAAGAAAAACACAACCUCUCAUGGUUUCUUCUGUUGGUUGUCAUUGGAUGAGUCCAUCUCUAAUGGUUGUCUCCAUGUUGACCAAGGUGCAGCAAGCUUCUCAACCCAACUGUAGGAAGCCACCCUCACUUAUGUGGUAAAGAGGCCUAAUGCAUUGGCUGUCUAGGCUCAUGGCAAGUUUUGGUGGAGCGCCUUCUCAUGAGCAACACACAUAAGUGUGCUGUCUACCAAACUUUUCUAUUAGAACCUAAGCAAGCCACUGAACACAGGAUCAGUAGAUGAAUGUAUGCAAUACUAAUUCCUACGAAGACCUUGGUCAUCUCGUGUGUUUGAUUCAGUGGCCCUGUGGCAUUAAGUGUUAGCACCUGAUCCAGACUGAAUUCCUUUAUAAUACUCUUGUCAUUAGGAUAUACUUUGCAUAACUACUUUCCUGUCCUUUCUGUCUUUUCACUUAUUUUGUGAUCUUGAUCUCCAGAAGAAAGAUAGGAUUCAUAGUUGAACCAGUUAAGAUCAUUGCUUGAGUGGUUUAUUUUAAACCAUAAAGCUACAGUUGAGAAGUAUGUAGCUGUAGCCUUUUGAUAAGAAUGCAUUAAAUAUAGCAUCACACAUGAGUACCACAAAUGAGGUUAGUAGACUAGCUAUGCAGUGGCCCACAUUCAGUGUAAUGUUUUAGUGUCAUUUAGUGCCUCUUAAGUUGCUGUUAUCUGUUGGUCAGUUGCUGUAGUAGGAAAUAAUACUUUUUUAACAAAUGACCCUACCUUUGCUAGUGCUAGGAUAUUUGUAAAAGCCUAAGGGCUUCUUAAAUAUAACAUUUUGGUCUAUUUGGUCUAACCUUAGAAAGAUUAGUAGUUUAUAAUAAAAUAUGUUUGUUCCUAUCAAAACUAGAAUGAACUGGGUUUUCUCCCAAGGACUAAUGAUUCCACUUUGGAUAGAUGAAUUGAUAUUUUCAGUGCAUUCAAAAAUUGUUACUCCCGAGAAAAGCGCCCAUUACCACAGGAAAAUGAACUCUUUGGAACUAGCCCGAUUUGAUAAUCUAGGCUGCUAAGUGAUCUCAUCCAUUUUUUAAAAAAACUAGUAGAGUCCAGUGUUUUCUCAGCUAGUCCCCAAGGAAGUUUCUGCUGCAGCGUGGUCCUUUCUUCAAGGUGUGUGGGAUUCAAGGUGGAAAAGAGUAUAGCUGGUAAUGGUGCCUUGGUCAUUCUGCUCAGGGACCUGCCUGUUCCUGCCUUCCUCUCUUCCCUUCCACAGACUAUCUCAGAGAUUUAACUGUGAACUUAUCCUUGCCUAACUCUUGAGGAUUUCCAAGCUUUGGUUGGGGGAUGGAACAGACAGGAAAACGGUUGUUCCUUGGUUUAAAUUUUGUCAUUGAUUUACUAAUAACUUUUAGCACUUGUUUGGAUCUUCUUAGAUCUGGAUGCUUACUUUCUUUUUUAGUGCCUUACAUACAAUGCUAAAAACUAGGGAUACUGAAAGGGAAAUGGGUUGCAGCAUUCUUGAAUAUAUUCAAAAGGCAUUUUUCACUUACAUUUCUAUCAAAAAGUGAUGUGACUUGUAGCAGUUUUUAUUUUAUUUAUUUAUUUUUUUAAGGAAGGGGGCAAUAAAGAACUGGAGUGCUGAAACAUCUCACACAGCAAACGUUCUGCUAGUGGGUACUAUGAAUCUUUGAUAUCUGAAAGCCCACAUAUAUUUGGUUUGAAGCCAUUCUAGAGGUUUUUAAUUGAUUGACUGCUCUACCACCUAUGGAGUUUGUCUCAUGUACUUAAAGUACACCUCUGUGCACCAUCUUACUUCAGGUUUGUCUUGUGUCACUGACUACAUUCGUAAGCCCCUUGAGGGUAAGGAUUGUCUACUGUAGUAAUCCUUUUCUCCUCAGCGCCUAGCACAGUGCUUUGGCAUCUUUGCUGCUUGGUUAAUUGAUCUAGUCAGGUCCUUCUUUGUUUUGGCUUAAACAACAGAAAAUUAUUUCUCACAGUUCUGGAGGCUAGAAAUCCAAUAUCAAGGUACAGGUUUGGUUUCUUUUGAGGCCCCUCUGCUUGGCUUGUGGAUGGCCGUCCUCCUGUGUUAUCACGUGAUUCGGGUCUUUGUUUUUUUAACCAAGUUUUUCUAGUUAACUGCAUUGAGUGUUUUCAUCAGCUGUUACAGGUGAAAUACAAUUUGGUAUGAAAAAGGAAAGAGUUCCAGGUGUAUGUUUUAGUAUGCAAAUGCUUUUCUAUUUUUAUAUUUACAUGUCAAUGACUUGCUGUCUGAAUUCCUUAUUAUAUUUGAAAUUUAACUGUUGUAUGACCUAAGUAAGACUGUUUAGAGAUUUGAAAACCAAACUACCGGGAAUUGCACUAAUAUUCUGAAACCCAAGGUAAAGAUAUUAGUGAGGUUUUUUACUUUUUAACUGAAACAGAAUGUAUCUUUUUAAUUUAGGAAGCACCUUAUGAAUUGGAAACAACUUUUUUCUAAAAUGAUUAUAAUGGAACAUAAAAAUGUUCUCCCAGUGAUGCAUCCUUUGAUUGAAACCGCCAUGUAACUAACUACCGGGGUAUUAUAAGAUUCACUUAAUUCAAACAUAUAUUCAUUUAAUGCACUUUGCAAGUAUUCUUCUGGAAUAGCAUAUGACAAGAAACUGUAUUUGCCCACAUUUCCUUGGGGACAUACACCCAGGGGUACUAACUGAUGGCUAAAAAAGUGGCAUGCAAUUUUGAGAGAGAUUGUUGUUUCUCCAUGUAGACAAGGAGAGAUAUUUGUAGAAGUGAUGCAGCAUUUUACCAGAUUUAUCACUGAACAAUUUAGUCUAGCUGACUUGAUUUAUCUUUCUGUUGAAUUUAACUAGUGGAAUAACUUAUCAGUAUUGGACAGUUGUGUAAAAGUAGUGAAUUACUCAUUAGCUUGCUGGUAAGGAUGGUGCUGUGACAGUUCAAUUAAGGUUUCAUUAACAACUGUCUGCUGUAUUUUAUCUCAAAGUAAGAGUUCCAGUUUACCUGGUAAUGUGAUUGUGGGAUAACCUGAGAUAACAUUUGUUGCCACUGAUAGAAUGUUGUUUAUGGGUUAUCAAGAUAUCAUAUACAAUUUGACCUUCUUUUUGAGACAUUACAGCCUCCAAACACCCACAUGGACAUUUUCAUAAUGCAAAAACAAAACACAAAGCAACCCACAAAUAGUAACUUCAGUCAUUUGGUGAGUAAUAUAAAUCUACCUUUUUGUCUGCAGUUCACAUUUGCCAGAGGAAAAUGCUGUGGUUAAAGAUGUAACAACUUUGGGACAAAGAGUUUCAGGGGCUCAUAAUUUUGAGAGAUGGAGGAAGUUGACCGCAUGAGAGUGGUUUGAGGAUCGCUGUGCCUAGACCGUUUUUGACAUUGGCAACUUAACAUAUCAGAGAUGGAAUUAAUGGCACAUAUUGCCACCUUGGUAAAAGUUGAGAAUCUGUAGUACUGAGAAGUUUCUCCACUAUCAGCCGAGAUUAACAGCCACAGCUGGAUUCUUUGGGGGCUCUGCUUUGUGAAAAGAGCUUUGAAGAAGCAGAGCCUGCACCAUAAAAAGGAAACGGUUGCUCUUCUAGACAUAACAAAGCAUCCGUAUGAAACUAGAAAUGUGGAAAUCUGUAUUGUUAAUUUUAACUACAAACGAACUUACUUUUGGAAAUUACAGGUUCAUGAUCAUAAAGUAGAUAAAGAGUAGAGAAUAAAAGUAACAAUCUGAUGAUUCUGCACCCACUUCUUGGUGGUUGAAACUCCAUAGCCUAUAACGUUGCAAGUCAUUUUGUACUUAGACUCCUGAAAAGAUUAUCCAAAUUAUGUUCAAAAAACCACAGCACAAAAAAUAAACUUGUUUUAUUCUUGGGGAGAAAUUUCAUGUUAUACUGUCCAAUAUUAAUUUAGAAAAAAAGACAGUUUUUUUUUUUAAGGCAUUUCAGAAACAUUGCCCUUUCAAGCAAGUUAGAACAAUAUCCCUCAACAUUAAAUACCAUCUUUUUAGCCAUCAGUACCACUGGGCAUGUGUCAUAAAAGAGAAAUGGGGGCAGAUAUAGCUCCCUUUCAUAUGCUAUACCAGAACAAAAAUUUGUAAAAUGCAUAAGUGCAUUAACUGAAUAUGUUUGAAUUUAAAUUCUGGGUUUUUACCUUCAAAGCACAGGCAGCUGUAGAUACAAAAAGUCCUCUAAUGGAGUACUGGAAUGUUUCAUUGUCUUCACAACUUGGAGUGUCAGAGUUUUCUCUGCCUUCUAUAUUGUAAAACUGAGUGACUAUUCUUGGUCGUUUUUAUUAGAUUUAUUGAUGUCCAAGCAAUACAAGAAUUAACUGUUCAUAUACUGUAUGUUUCCUUAACAUGCUUAUUUGGUUUCUUUGAUGGAGAUUGUCAAGGCCAAAGAAACUUUUUCAUUUGUCAUCCAACCAAUAAAUGGACAGAAGCUGUUAGAAGCUCUUUAA
rnacentral:lncRNA from 1 species